UGAUAAGUUGGUUUCUGGCAUCAUCAGCAUGGUUGUUAGAGCCUAACUGAUAGAGUAAACACCCUGUAGUGAGAACAAGAAGGAGGACAGAGUGAGGUGGACAUGAACUGCUGUCUCUUCUGUUGUCUACAAAUUGAGCUCGGCAGUUAACCGGACUUGGCACUGCACUGAGGUUUAGUCGUUUUAAGAGGUUCCUAUCUACUUUUGUCAAGGGCCUUCCAUGUUAACGCUGCCAUUAUUGUUUGGAGAAAGGUUUGGCACUAUUACCUGGCUGAAAAUGAGCUGUCUGCCGGAAAGUGUGAGCCAUUUGUGCGACCGUUUCCCAAUCGCUUACCAAAGAAUCCUGGCUCCCAGUGUGUUCUAUCUAAGGCGUACUACCAGUGAUUAGUUUCUGUAGAAGUGAUGGUUGAAAUCUCUAGGGCCUGAUAAAAAUUGCAGAAGAGAUACUGAGUCAUAAACAGAAUUCCGAUAAACCGGUUGUGUAUGGACGUGGUUCAAGAGCCGCUCUGUGGAACUAAAUAAUCAACUAGUAGUUUGGUCUUACGCCACUUGCGUUCAGAUUUGCAGCAGGUUCUUUUUAAUACUUUGACUCUUUCCACAUUCCUCCAAGGUGUUUUCAUUUCACCAGUAGGCUCAGACACUAAGAUUAUGAGCCAGGGAGGACAACAAGCAUUCUUGUUGUGAGAUGUUGUGUUUUAGGAAUGUCAAGGCGCCACAUAUUUUGACUGUUGAUGUGCACGUGUUAUGGGAACUAUAAAGAUAGCAGGGCGAGAGGACUUGCUAGGCACUCACUCACUGACUGACUGUUCAUGCGGUUGUAUGUUUGAGUGUCUCCAUUCAUGAAUGCUUAUUAAAAAGGAACCCCGACUAGUUAGAAAAGUAAAAAAAAAAAAAAAAAAAAAGAAAAUAUAAUUUCACUCGUAGGUCGCCAUUGUUGUUUACGUCGCCGUCGCAAUGCAGUGUGGGUAGUGACGUCAGAUGGUUGCAACCGCCCGAGCGACAAGCUAGAGAGGAGGACAACGCAGAAAAUAUACAGGAAGGACACGAAGACGUAGUAGACGAACAGAGACAUGAGGUGUGAGUGGGACAAAACAGCUGGUGUCAGUGCGGAAACUGCAUCUCCAUGACAACCGAGCCAGAGACCGUGUGUUGUCAAGAGCUUCAAUUUCUGUCAGCAGCUGUUCAAGAUUGAACGGGUUGAACGGGUGGACUGUCAGCUUCCUCCAUAACCAGUGGUGUGUCCGAUGGUUCACCUUCAGAAGCUACAGCAGCAGGAGUGGGUUCUUUGCAGUACAAGAGAGCAUCCAGCGUCUCCUGUUUUUGCCGUUUUUUUGCGUGCAUUUCACUCCCCUCCCGAGGGCGUUUAGACUCCUUAUGUGAGAAAAUUGUUGGCACGGCAUUUUGUUUAAGUCGACGUUUAUACCCAGCAGCACCCGUUAGCUCCUUUAGCAGCUCUGGUCGACUAAAGGCCUCAAAAUCAUCUGGGGAGAAGUGGCGAGAACAGAGCUGCGGGUCUUUAGGAAGUUCUGUUCGUCCACAAGCACUUUCCCACUGCUUUCUCCUCUUCUUAUCACUAGGAAACGUGUAAACUUACAUCAGUUCCCUUGUUGUCUUUCGACUGGAAAUUACAUCCAAAUGCAGCGCAAUGUGGCAUUUUCUCUGGUGAUAGCGUCAGGUAGCAGCAGCCGUCAGGUAAACAACUCACAGAGCAACCAUUCUACGUCAUCACCCCGGCAUGCAUUGUGCGAGUAAAAUAAUGGUGGCCUCCUGUGGUAAAAAAUAUGUGGUAAACACUGAAGAAUUUUAAAGCAAUGACAACAUUUCAUGUCUUUCUAACAACAUAUUUUAGUACAAUAGAAAAAUUGUGGCUUAUUGAGCCCUACAUGUCUAAUUAAUCAGGUUGAAGACUUUUUCUUUAAAUUGUUCAUUAAAUAGUUGUUUUGCCACCACAAAAUGGCAACCACGAAGGGACUUCAUCUGUGAGCAGAUUCUGGAAUUCUAGACUGAAAGUGUGAAGACUGUACGCACAGCAAGAGCUGAGGCUCUUACCACCUCAAACUCCCCCACAAAGGAAGGCUGAGAGGAGGGCCUGACGUCUGGAAAACCGGGAUUCCCUUCACCGUUGGGGUCCAACGAACUUGGUGGCUGUCAACACCUCGCUGUCUUUUCUGAUCUAUGCUUCUGAUGUGAUAUGCAGCGUGCCUGACUACAUACAGUAACCUGUGGAAGAGACAACUGUUUGAGACCCUGGACCUGCUGCGCUCAGAGGUGGAGCGGCGUUUUGAUCAGGAGGGACUCCGCGUAGCUGCAGGGCGAGAGCAGGCAGUUCUUGAGGCGGCUCAGGGGAAACGAGGAGAUGUGGGUUCCCCGGAACUGACCCCCUUUCCACGAGAACGGCUAAGCCUUGAGCUGGACAUACUGAGGGAUGUGUGUAGGGGACGAGAAGUUAGCACCAUCCAAGAUGUUGUGUCCAUCCUGCAAACCUUGCAGCCCCAAACCCGCUCCAUGCUGUCGGAGGUGGAGAAGCUCAUUAAGCUCUGUCUGGCCCUGCCCUUAUCUGUCGCAGCAUCCGAGCGCUCUUUCUCAGCCUUGCACAGGCUGAAAACCAUGACACAGGAGAGACUAACACAUUUGGCCAUUAUGAACGCUCACGGUGACCUUAUGGAUGAAAGUGAUGUCUCGACCCUGCUUAAAAUCUUCAUCAGUAGGUCAACUGAGAGAAGGUCCACUUUUGGAAAUGCAUGAAAGCCCUGAGUCAGGAGCGCAGACUUUUCUUUUUUUCAUUCAAGGUUACAAAUAAUGUUAUGUUCCUUAAAUGGCUUGAUUUAGUUAUCAAAGUUUCAUUUUCUUAACAAUAAA